UCCAGAUGCCUCUGACUAUUUCAUCAGCACUACUAAGGUCACGUGGUUUGAUGCAAAGUCAGCAUGUGAUGGGAUGUCGGGACAUCUGUUGAUAGUUGACAAUCAGGCUGAACAUGACUUUAUCCAAACAAUUGCAGGAACUUUAGAACACUGGAUAGGCAUGCGGUGUUACAAUGUAAAGAAUUGUAUAUGGGUAGAUGGUAGAAGUAUAGACGGAGGUUACAC